AGAGGAGCCAAGCGUUGUCCGGACUGACUGGGCGUAAAGGGCACGCAGGCGGUGCGACAAGUGGUGUGUGAAAGCGCUCGGCUUAACCGAGCGAGGCCAGGCCAAACUGUCGCACUGGAGCCAUGCAGAGGGUGGUGGAAUUGCCGGUGUAGUGGUGAAAUGCGUAGAGAUCGGCAGGAACACCAAGGGAGAAGUCAGCCACCUGGGCAUGUGCUGACGCUGAGGUGCGAAAGCGUGGGGAGCGAACUGGAUUAGAUACCCAGGUAGUCCACGCCAUAAACGAUGGACGCUCGGCAUCUGCGCGCUAUCAACGCGCGGGGGUGCCUCAGCUAACGCGUAAGCGUCCCGCCUGGGAACUACGAGCGCAAGCUUA
rnacentral:rRNA from 1 species